UAAUAAGAAGCAAAUGCAUUCAGUUUCGACCUGACCUUUGGCGAAAAUCGCCCUUAUUAA
rnacentral:tRNA from 1 species